GGGCCCGCACAAGCGGUGGAGCAUGUGGUUUAAUUCGAUGAUACGCGAGGAACCUUACCAGGACUUAAAUGUAAGUUGCAUGAUUCAGAAAUGAAUCUUUCUUCGGACUACUUACAAGGUGCUGCAUGGUUGUCGUCAGCUCGUGCCGUGAGGUGUCAGGUUAAGUCCUAUAACGAGCGCAACCCCCUAUCGUUAGUUGCCAUCAAGUAAAGUUGGGAACUCUAGAGAGACUGCCGGUGAUAAACCGGAGAAGGUGUGGAUGACGUCAAAUCAUCACGGCCCUUACGUCUGGGCUACACACGUGCUACAAUGGCCGGUACAGAGGGCAGCCACACCGCAAGGUGGAGCGAAUCCUUAAAACCGGUCUC
rnacentral:rRNA from 1 species